GUUAAAGCGGGACGGACGGACGGACGCGUGCGUGCGUGGACGGCGUGACCGCAUGGUGCCUGACAUCUGUCAACGCGUUUUGUGUUGAGCACAUGUGAGUACAGCGAGCAGAAUGUGAGCACAACGUGGAUAUUGUCUGCGCCUAACAGGUUUCUUCAGAAGAUGCCCUCCGGUUGCUACUACGGUAGCUACUGCUGUGUCGCAUGGUGCGAAAACAAUGGUAAAACGCACAAGAAACCCGGCACAAAAUUUUUCCGAAUCCCACGUGACGCAAGGUCAAAGGCUUGGCUCGACUAUGCCAAGAGGUACGAUCUUCUUGGAAAGUCUGCUUCGCAACUCUAUGCCACCUAUCGUGUCUGCAGUGAUCACUUCACUGCAAAAGAUUUUAUGGACCCAGGGCAAACAACCCUAGUGCGAUCAGCUGUGCCUACUGUUCGUCCUCCCAUAAACUGGGCAUCUGCAAUAGGUCCCACUCAGGCAACCAGCUCGUCUGGCCCUUCACUCC
rnacentral:lncRNA from 1 species